AUCACUUCUCAGCCUUUUGGCUAAGAUCAAGGGUAGUAAGUCUGUUCAGUUAUGGCUGCAAAGAAUCAGGCUGAAAUAUAUCCAUUCAGUCACGGCGCUCAUAGAAUGUUCUUGGUCAAUGUUAUUUUCUUCCUAAAAUGGCAUCAAAGAGGAUUGCUUUCUUUUGCUGAAUAUCCUUGAAGCCAG